GCGUAAAGGGCUCGCAGGCGGUUUCUUAAGUCUGAUGUGAAAGCCCCCGGCUCAACCGGGGAGGGUCAUUGGAAACUGGGGAACUUGAGUGCAGAAGAGGAGAGUGGAAUUCCACGUGUAGCGGUGAAAUGCGUAGAGAUGUGGAGGAACACCAGUGGCGAAGGCGACUCUCUGGUCUGUAACUGACGCUGAGGAGCGAAAGCGUGGGGAGCGAACAGGAUUAGAUACCCUGGUAGUCCACGCCGUAAACGAUGAGUGCUAAGUGUUAGGGGGUUUCCGCCCCUUAGUGCUGCAGCUAACGCAUUAAGCACUCCGCCUGGGGAGUACGGUCGCAAGACUGAAACUCAAAGGAAUUGACGGGGGCCCGCACAAGCGGUGGAGCAUGUGGUUUAAUUCGAAGCUACGCGAAGAACCUUACCAGGUCUUGACAUC
rnacentral:rRNA from 1 species